AAAAAAACUGACAAAUUUGUUACUUUUUCUAUGUAAUAUGAUCUCAAGCAAUCUCCGACUUCAAUUUUGAUACUACUCCAGGACAAAACAGGCCAGGCUCCUCCCACUCCUCCGUCUCCUCUUAAUUCGAAGCCAGUACCCAGUACCGCUGGCGGACUCCUGCUAGUAGCCAUCAUGCUUGGGGGUGUCAUCGGUCAGCUGUUUUGCAGAUGUCAGCAGCAUCCAGCACCGCUUUUCAUAUCUUCUUUUGUUUAAUACGGACACGUUAUGUAUGUGUUGGGUGUUGAUAAAAAAAUAUUGUCGUCGCAGCAACUGAUAAAUUGAUGUAUUAAUGAUAAAAGCGGUAUAGGAAAAAUAGUGUGGUCACUGAUCUACGACUGCUUUUAUCGUUUAUAUAUAUGUGUGCGUGCGGCGUAUAUUUUAUUCUUUUAUAUAUAUUUUGAUUGAGGCAUAUAGUUAAACUGAAAUCCUAUUCGUCUAAUCAAGCAAAUGUAUAAAUAUUGUGGAGAUAUUUCUUCAAAACUGAUAUGUUAUUUGAUUUUCUGUCUGUUUUACCAAAUAUUGUGUUGUACCUUUUGUACAUAUGUAUUUGUCAUUUUUGUAUCAUGGCUUUGUCAUGGUCAAUCAUGGGUGUCCUGUUACCCCGCCAUUCGACGUCGAACAUGCGCAGUUUCGCAAAUUUUUCAAAUUUUCGAAGAGCGCAAUUUCCAAAAUUGUUGCGUAUAUAAAGUAAUUAAAACAGUAUCAGAUUAUUUGAACAGAAAGUGUUAGUGCAUUUUUUUCAUAUCGCUGCCGCUAUUGUUGUAUGCUGAAUUUGAUUUUCACGAUAUCUUAUUCACACGGCAACAAUUAAAACUGGCGCCUGCAGGUUAUUUAUUACCUCACUGAUUACUUGCCAUGGUUUUAGACAAUCUUUCCAUCAUUGUAAAUGCUAUGUGAUUGGUAUCGAUUUAGGGCAAUUUAGGGUAUCAAAAAAUUACCAUUUCUUUACGAUUGUCGUGAAAAUUAAGUACUUUUUGGUGUGAAAAUAGUUAUCUGUUGGAUUAAAAUACAUGCUAACAUUCA